rnacentral:rRNA from 1 species
UACGGAGGGUGCAAGCGUUAUCCGGAUUCACUGGGUUUAAAGGGUGUGUAGGCGGGUCAUUAAGUCAGCGGUGAAAUCUCCGAGCUCAACUCAGAAACUGCCAUUGAUACUAUUGAUCUUGAAUAUCGUUGAGGCAGGCGGAAUAUGUCAUGUAGCGGUGAAAUGCUUAGAUAUGACAUAGAACACCGAUUGCGAAGGCAGCUUGCUAAACGAUUAUUGACGCCGAGGCACGAAAGCGUGGGGAUCAAACAGG